GCACCUAAGAUUAGCAAGCUGCUGCCAAUACCUAGUGUUUUUAAAAAAAAUACAUUUAUAAGCAUUCUGGUAUAACCUUGCGGCAGGGUCAGCAACUAAGAUUAGCAAGCUGCUGCCUAUAAAACUACAGUAGACGAACAUUGGCUUCUGACUUACUAUAUAUGAAAAAACGAACAUGCAAUUCUCCUUGCAAAUUCUUAAUUGAAUCAUUCGAUGACAAUGCACCAUUUGUAUUUCAAACGAUUGUUGGUUUCAUUUCCCUUUGUGUUGUUCAACUUUUUUCCUUUUGCUGUUCGAGCUGCCCAUGUAAGUAGGGCCAUGCAUGCUUUUACACUUUACUGAAAUUGUAUUCAGAUAUUCUCCACUCUCUUUUUUAGGUAUUUAAGAUGUAGCACACGUUACUGAAAUUGUAUUCAGAUAUUCUCCACUCUUAUUUUAGGUAGUUAAGAUGUUGCAAAAGAAUGGUAGGAUUCUCUUCAAAUGAAGAAAUAAUUACUUGAUUGAUUGCUUAUUUCAUGCUACAGUGAAAAGAACGGGAAGUAGUUUUUACUGGCAGAAAAAGCACCUAAUAUUACCAAGCUUCUGCCAAUAAUCUGGCCUAGGAGUAAAGUUUCUGAAGUGAGAGAUAUUGUUAUUACAAAACGACUGAUACAGCCCCUAAGCUUAGCAUGCUGCAGUCAAUGAUGAAAUAGAAUAGGGUAUUUAUAUAUUGCAGAUACAGCACCUAAAAAUAACAAGCUGCUGCCUAGAGAAUCCUAAAAAAGAUGAAGAUUGAUUGAAUCUUUAUAGGCCAGGGCUUAGCCAUUUUAAGAUACAGCAGCUAAGAACAGUAACGUGAUGCCUAUGUAUGAAUUCUUCUUCCGAGCGAGGAUGUUCAGCACUCCUUCCCUCCUACCACCAUCCUGGCAAAGGACCGGCACUGGAGUACCCAAAUAGAGGCGUCUCUUAUGGACCAGACAGAGUACAUCCUGUUUCAAGAGGUGUAUUCUGGAAGAGCGUCGAGUCAUGUAGGACCAUACAAGAGAAAAGAAUACAUCUUGUGUCAAGAGAUUUGCUGUGGAAGAGAAUCGAGUCCUGUAGGAGCAGCGGAGAGUAAAGGAUGUUCAGCACUCCUUCCCUCCUACCACCAUCCUGGCAAAGGACCGGCACUGGAGUACCCAAAUAGAGGCGUCUCUUAUGGACCAGACAGAGUACAUCCUGUUUCAAGAGGUGUAUUCUGGAAGAGCGUCGAGUCAUGUAGGACCAUACAAGAGAAAAGAAUACAUCUUGUGUCAAGAGAUUUGCUGUGGAAGAGAAUCGAGUCCUGUAGGAGCAGCGGAGAGUAAAGGAUGUUCAGCACUCCUUCCCUCCUACCACCAUCCUGGCAAAGGACCGGCACUGGAGUACCCAAAUAGAGGCGUCUCUUAUGGACCAGACAGAGUACAUCCUGUUUCAAGAGGUGUAUUCUGGAAGAGCGUCGAGUCAUGUAGGACCAUACAAGAGAAAAGAAUACAUCUUGUGUCAAGAGAUUUGCUGUGGAAGAGAAUCGAGUCCUGUAGGAGCAGCGGAGAGUAAAGGAUGUUCAGCACUCCUUCCCUCCUACCACCAUCCUGGCAAAGGACCGGCACUGGAGUACCCAAAUAGAGGCGUCUCUUAUGGACCAGACAGAGUACAUCCUGUUUCAAGAGAUGUAUUCUGGAAGAGCGUCGAGUCAUGUAGGACCAUACAAGAGAAAAGAAUACAUCUUGUGUCAAGAGAUUUGCUGUGGAAGAGAAUCGAGUCCUGUAGGAGCAGCGGAGAGUAAAGGAUGUUCAGCACUCCUUCCCUCCUACCACCAUCCUGGCAAAGGACCGGCACUGGAGUACCCAAAUAGAGGCGUCUCUUAUGGACCAGACAGAGUACAUCCUGUUUCAAGAGGUGUAUUCUGGAAGAGCGUCGAGUCAUGUAGGACCAUACAAGAGAAAAGAAUACAUCUUGUGUCAAGAGAUUUGCUGUGGAAGAGAAUCGAGUCCUGUAGGAGCAGCGGAGAGUAAAGGUGAGAAAUGUGCAGUCUUGUUUGUUUUCUUUCCCUUUGAAAUUGACUGAUGUUAGUGAAAAGAUAUAAUAAGAGUCAGAAGACCAAGUAGUAGGCUAAAUGGCAGAGACAGCAAUUAAGAUUAGCAGGCUGCUGCCAGUAACUAGUGUUUCUUUUAUACAUUUAUAAGCAUUUUGAUAAAAAUGUGUGGCAGAGACAGCACCUAAGAUUAGCAAGCUGCUGCCAAUAACUAGUGAUGUUU
rnacentral:misc_RNA from 1 species